UAUUUUUACCUGUUCUUUGGCUUUUUCUCUCUCUCUCUCCUGGUUGGUUUUGUGUGUGUUUAUUUUCUAGUUGGUGUUACUUUUCCUUAUUCUAUUAUCUGUUAACUUGAUCUUUUUUUUCUGUACUGUCAUCACCUUUCUGGUUAAACCUCGCCCGUUAACAUCGUCAUCAUUUGAUUUCUACUUUGAUACUUAUUGACUUUUGUGGAAUAUUUUUACACAUUUAAUUCUUUGAUUGGUGUUCCAUCCCCAUAUCUUCAUCAUUAAUCUCUCACUAGUUUGGUGAGUUGUAAUACUUGGGACGUUUUUUUUAAAGGAAGUUAAAACCAGUUAAUUACACCAAGAGAUCAUAUUUUCUUCCAUAGCUGAUUUAACCAUCACCGUAACUACAACAACAACUACCAAACAACAAACCAUUGUGAUUACUUUGAUAUUACUAUUAUUAUCUUCAUUUAUCAACUAUUAAUUCUUUACCCUGUUCAAUCCUGAUAAUUUGAAUCUGUUUCUCAACGAAAAUGGUUGAAAUAUCAAGUAGUACGAAGAAAAUUUUAAUCAUAAUCGCCUGUGUUAUGCUAUUUCUCUCAUCGGUACAAUUAAUAUACUCUAUUGCUCAUGAUGAUGGUGAACAAAUUGGCUGGACAGUGAUUAACCUUGUCGCUGAUUUAUGUUUCGUCAUCGUUAUUGUUAAACAAUGGGAAUUUGGUCUGAAAGUCUAUCGAAUUGCAAUGCAGGCAUUUGUUGUUCUAUCCAUAAUUGCCUUGAUCUUUUGUAUUUACAUCAUUGCCUCGGGUGAUGAGCGUCAUAAACAAGAUAUCGCUGAGAAAACAGUCUCUGUCAUCAUUGGUGCUGUUCUCUAUUCCAUGUUGGCUUACCUUCUCAACAAGUAUCUCCAUCAAAUUGAAUACAAUGAAGGAUAUACAAUCGCUUAAAUGAUGUCAUUCACAUUUUUUUUUCGUAUUCUCAUCAAGAUCAAAUCCGGAAUCAAAUACAAUACAAAAAAUAUAACGAUAUCCUUUCAAAGACGGAAAAAAAGCUUUACACCAGAAACAACCAAACCUUAAAGUCCAUUUCUGAUCUGACAAACGCAUUUAAACAGUAACAACAAAAAACGAAAACAGUCUAAUCUCAAAAGCAAUUUUCUCAUCGAUCUUUCAUCAAUGAGCCUUUAAUGACUCAUAAAUGAGCUAAUCUAAUUGAAUCAUCAUCAUCAGUAUCAUUCAUUUAUCUCCAUUACCAAAGCAAAUCUGCUGCUUCUCAAAUCAAAGUACUCAUCAUAAUUAUCUAUUUUCAUCUUUUAAAUUGGGUUAAUUUUUAUUUCUCCUCUUCAUCAAUUUUUAAUUGUGACAAAAUCAUUUUACCUUGGAAGAUGAUCCAUCAACACAGGAAAUUAAAUUGAUUGUAAAUUCAUCUUGGUUUUAACCAUGGGGACCAACAAGAGAGACGAUAUGGUUUCUGAUCAACUAAAUUUUACCGAUUUUAAUCAGACAACAUGAUAUUUUAAUGACUCAGGACGAUGAAGGAAACAUAUGAACAAUCAAUUUAAAUCAUUAAUUAUUCUGAUGAUCUUCAACUAACAUUGUUAAUUAUACUCUUUCUAUGAGCAGUUUAAUUAACAAUGUAAACACCAAGUCAAACAACAAAAUGUGGAUUCAGUUUCACCUGUAAUCAUAUAUAAAAUGAAUGGAUUAUCACAAUUAACAACUAUUUAUAUAUAUAAAUUGUUAAUCAAUCAGAAUAAUAAUCAUUGUAUAUAUAAAUUAACCAUUCUCAAUAUUUAUAAAUAUUAAUACUUUCGAUACUUUGUCAA